UCUCACAGUAUGACAACUAACUCUCACAUUCAUGCAACUGAAGUAUACCCCAAGGAGACUAGCUGAAUUAAGAGACAUUUUCAAGUCAGAAGUGAAAGAAAAUUCUUAAUGAAAAGCAUUAUUUGAUUUAAUGCAAGCGGUGCAUGUUCAUCAGUCAAGAACAGAACAGAGCAAUAGGAUCUCACUGGUACAUUAAGUCUAAUGGCAGGGACUGUCUUUGGCAGAAAACCAGCAUGGAGUAAAAGAAUACUAAAUUUACAGAUGUUUGUGGACUUUGAAAAAUACUUUACUUAUCAGUGAAAUACAAGGAAUGAAAAUAUAAAGGCCAACUGAGACAAAUUCUCCUCUGAUCUCUCUGUAAUACUGAAGAGUGUAUUUUUAAGACUAUUAAGCACUAUCUGCACAGGACCAAAAGAACUGAACAUCUGUUUGUCAGUAAUCCUGAAAAAAGAAGGAUUUUCAUUUGGAAGUUUUGUGCGGCUUAUACAAGAGAUGUUUUAAGAUUCUAAAAAUACCAGUAGCAGAAAUAGAAAAGGUUCCACUGCAUGACCCAGAACACUUCAACCUUACCCAUGACAGACCCAAGAUGCCAUUUCCGUAUCCUGCUCCAAACUGCUGGAGACACUCACCCACUGAUGGCUUCUGGGAAUUUUGGAGAAGCUGUUUCACAAUAUUGCAGACUUGAUCAACCGACCAACUUUCCAUCUUCAGGCGUUGCAAAGAUAAAUUUCACUGUGAAAUGAAGACAGAGGAUUAUUUUUAUGCUGAGCUCUAAACUGAACUCAAACAUCUUAUAGAAAAAAUACUCUUGCAAACAGUGUCAUACUUACAUGCUCUGAAUAAAAUGAGAAAUAAUCAAACUAAUGCCUUUUGCAAGUAGCAGUUUUCUUAG